rnacentral:rRNA from 1 species
AUUGAACGCUGGCGGCAGGCCUAACACAUGCAAGUCGAGCGGAUGAAGGGAGCUUGCUCCUGGAUUCAGCGGCGGACGGGUGAGUAAUGCCUAGGAAUCUGCCUGGUAGUGGGGGAUAACGUCCGGAAACGGGCGCUAAUACCGCAUACGUCCUGAGGGAGAAAGUGGGGGAUCUUCGGACCUCACGCUAUCAGAUGAGCCUAGGUCGGAUUAGCUAGUUGGUGGGGUAAAGGCCUACCAAGGCGACGAUCCGUAACUGGUCUGAGAGGAUGAUCAGUCACACUGGAACUGAGACACGGUCCGGACUCCUACGGGAGGCAGCAGUGGGGAAUAUUGGACAAUGGGCGAAAGCCUGAUCCAGCCAUGCCGCGUGUGUGAAGAAGGUCUUCUGAUUGUAAAGCACUUUAAGUUGGGAGGAGGGGCAGUAAGUUAAUACCUUGCUGUUUUGACGUUACCAACAGAAUAAGCACCGGCUAACUUCGUG